GAAUAACAUUUGUGCCCGGGUGCCCUUGGCUAAAGCCAAGGGAAAAGGGAACCAGGUGCAAAAUCCUGGACGGUCGGGCCACUGUAAAUGGGUAGCGGUUUACCAAAAAAGCCACUGGGGAAACCCCCGGGAAGGCGGUAAGCAAGCGAUGAUCCGUGAGUCAGGAAACCUGCCCGGGCAUAUAUUGGUGC
rnacentral:ncRNA from 2 species